rnacentral:rRNA from 1 species
CCUACGGGAGGCAGCAGUAGGGAAUAUUGCUCAAUGGGGGAAACCCUGAAGCAGCAACGCCGCGUGGAGGAUGAAGGUUUUCUGAUUGUAAACUCCUUUUGUUAGAGAAGAUAAUGACGGUAUCUAACGAAUAAGCACUGUCUAACUCCGUUCCAGCAGCCGCGGUAAGACGGAGGGUGCAAGCGUUACUCGGAAUCACUGGGCGUAAAGGGCGCGUAGGCGGGUUAGCAAGUCAGAUGUGAAAUCCUAUGGCUUAACCAUAGAAUUGCAUUUGAAACUGUUAUUCUAGAGUACGGGAGAGGUAGGUGGAAGUCUUGGUGUAGGGGUGAAAUGCGUAGAGAUAAAGAGGAAUACUGAUUGCGAAGGCGACCCGCUAGACUAUAACUGACGCUGAGGCUCGAAAGCGUGGGGAGCAAACAGGAUUAGAUACCCCAGUAGUC